AGUGAACGCUGGCGGUAGGCCUAACACAUGCAAGUCGAACGGCAGCACAGUAAGAGCUUGCUCUUACGGGUGGCGAGUGGCGGACGGGUGAGGAAUACAUCGGAAUCUACUUUUUCGUGGGGGAUAACGUAGGGAAACUUACGCUAAUACCGCAUACGACCUACGGGUGAAAGCAGGGGAUCUUCGGACCUUGCGCGAUUGAAUGAGCCGAUGUCGGAUUAGCUAGUUGGCGGGGUAAAGGCCCACCAAGGCGACGAUCCGUAGCUGGUCUGAGAGGAUGAUCAGCCACACUUGAACUGUGACACGGUCCAGGCUCCUACAGGAGGCAGCAGUGGGGAAUAUUGGACAAUGGGCGCAAGCCUGAGCCAGCCAUACCGCGUGGGUGGAGAAGGCCUUCGGGUUGUAAAGCCCUUUUGUUGGGAAAGAAAAGCAGCAGGUUAAUACCCCGCUGUUCUGACGGUACCCAAAGAAUAAGCACCGGCUAACUUCGU
rnacentral:rRNA from 1 species